rnacentral:rRNA from 1 species
UGGUGGGUAGUUUGACUGGGGCGGUCUCCUCCUAAAGAGUAACGGAGGAGCACGAAGGUUGGCUAAUCCUGGUCGGACAUCAGGAGGUUAGUGCAAUGGCAUAAGCCAGCUUGACUGCGAGCGUGACGGCGCGAGCAGGUGCGAAAGCAGGUCAUAGUGAUCCGGUGGUUCUGAAUGGAAGGGCCAUCGCUCAACGGAUAAAAGGUACUCCGGGGAUAACAGGCUGAUACCGCCCAAGAGUUCAUAUCGACGGCGGUGUUUGGCACCUCGAUGUCGGCUCAUCACAUCCUGGGGCUGAAGUAGGUCCCAAGGGUAUGGCUGUUCGCCAUUUAAAGUGGUACGCGAGCUGGGUUUAGAACGUCGUGAGACAGUUCGGUCCCUAUCUGCCGUGGGCGCUGGAGAAUUGAGGGGGGCUGCUCCUAGUACGAGAGGACCGGAG